rnacentral:rRNA from 1 species
ACACUCCUGCGGGAGGCAGCAGUGGGGAAUUUUGGACAAUGGGCGAAAGCCUGAUCCAGCAAUGCCGCGUGAGUGAAGAAGGCCUUCGGGUUGUAAAGCUCUUUUGUCAGGGAAGAAACGGUGAAAGCUAAUAUCUUUUGCUAAUGACGGUACCUGAAGAAUAAGCACCGGCUAACUACGUGCCAGCAGCCGCGGUAAUACGUAGGGUGCAAGCGUUAAUCGGAAUUACUGGGCGUAAAGCGUGCGCAGGCGGUUUUGUAAGUCUGAUGUGAAAUCCCCGGGCUCAACCGGGGAAUUGCAUUGGAGACUGCAAGUCUAGAAUCUGGCAGAGGGGGGUAGAAUUCCACGUGUAGCAGUGAAAUGCGUAGAUAUGUGGAGGAACACCGAUGGCGAAGGCAGCCCCCUGGGUCAAGAUUGACGCUCAUGCACGAAAGCGUGGGGAGCAAACAGGAUUAGAUACCCUUGUAGUCCC